AYAAAAUAUUUGCCUCGAGGUUUCAUUUGAAUGAAGAGUGGGAAUCCAGCUGUGGAGUGGGGAAUAUCCCUGGAUAGAGCAAUAGAUGUAGCGGCUAUCUGCUCCUGCUAAGCCCGUUCUGCCACUGGCAUCAGGCUAUGGCAUCUCCAGAUAAUUUCUUCUUCUUGCUGUUUAGUAACACUUUCUUGAUGACAUGACAGUAUUUCGGCUGGUGGUCUCUCAUGAAGGAUGAACGUCUUGUCAGCUCCUCCUUUGAAAUGCCCACUUCCAAGUCUUCCUGGAUAUCUCUCUACUGCUCUUUCUCUCCCAGUGAAAGCAUCCUCUGAGCUUCCUACCACGGAAGAAAUAAAGAAGAGGUCUUAUGCCAGCACAUGAGCUGUGGUAUGGCCAAGAGGCAAACAGCAUAUGGUCACAAUUCUGGAAGAGGGGACACUAUCUAGAAGAAGGAAUCUGCCAAUGAACAGAGACAGUGGUGGGACAUAAAUCCGUGUUGAAUGAUUCAAUAUCAAAUUAAGUGCUGAAGGUAGAAGGUAAGAGAAACUAGGAGACUUGACAUAACGUUUUACAUAAAGUGAAUUGCCAUUAAUACUAUGUAAAAUACACUUAAAGAAAGCUAAAUAUAUAGGUUUCUUAUGGGUUAUAUAAUAAUAGGUAAAUAAAUGCUCCUCAUCUAAAUUUGUUCA
rnacentral:lncRNA from 1 species